CCUCAAAGAAUUUAUUUUUUUAUUUUUAUUUUUUGUGCUAAAAUUCAUACAUUAUAUUUUGUUUCUUUACAAAUUUUUUUGGAAGAAAAAAACUUAGAAAAUAGGCCCAUCCAAGUCUGAAAUUGGACAUUAUAGAUUUUGGUUGGUGAGUUCGAAAAAUCAACUAGAUUGAUUGUGAGCUCAAAAAACUAUUGGUGUAAGAUUGUGGUUGGUGAUCCCAAAAAAUCAAUUGCAUUGAUAGUA
rnacentral:lncRNA from 1 species